AUCUUCCAGGACAAGUGAAGGCAACCCAGUUAGGAGGCAUCUGGGACUUUCCUGGCCAACUCUGAAGACAUCAAGUUGAACCAUGACCCGGAUUCGGUCUUGGAAGCAGAUGAGAGGGUAAAGAGUUGAAGCCAGGUCUACACUCUGAUUCCUCCAAGUCACCGAGUGGUUUCAUGUGAAAGGGGUCUGGGCAGGAGUGAGCCGAGGUUAGCGGUGGUAUUUCAGUGAUUUGGCAAAUGUGCACAGAUGGCUCAUAAACCGCCCCCCCACAUGCCACCGACAGGAAACUACCACUUGACAACACGCCUGCUUCUGCCGCAUCACAGACUUAGCAGAGUCUGUUCAGAAUCUCCUUGCAUUUCCAAAUGAAGCUUGGAUGUUAGCAGAUGUUAAACCCAAGAACAGGUACACCUGGGCUCUAAAUUCAUCUUCUGACUGAAGUUGAAGAUAAAACCUGAUACCAGUUUGGAGUAGAAAGAGACACAGUAUUGUAAUCAUAAAUGACAUUUGACCUUAAAACAGUAACACAGCAAAUUUCUAAUUAAAGUGGAGCAUGUCCUGUCUUGACUGAGGCACCAAGACGAUUUGUUGCAGAUUGUUGCUGGCAGUGUGCAGUCCCCAAGACCAAAU
rnacentral:lncRNA from 1 species